rnacentral:rRNA from 1 species
GACGAACGCUGGCGGCGUGCCUAAUACAUGCAAGUCGAGCGAAUGGAAGGGAGCUUGCUCCCUGAAGUUAGCGGCGGACGGGUGAGUAACACGUGGGCAACCUGCCUGUAAGACUGGGAUAACUUCGGGAAACCGGAGCUAAUACCGGAUACGUUCUUUCCUCGCAUGAGGAAAGAUGGAGAGAUGGUUUCGGCUAUCACUUACAGAUGGGCCCGCGGCGCAUUAGCUAGUUGGUGGGGUAAUGGCCCACCAAGGCGACGAUGCGUAGCCGACCUGAGAGGGUGAUCGGCCACACUGGGACUGAGACACGGCCCAGACUCCUACGGGAGGCAGCAGUAGGGAAUCUUCCGCAAUGGACGAAAGUCUGACGGAGCAACGCCGCGUGAGCGAAGAAGGCCUUCGGGUCGUAAAGCUCUGUUGUCAGGGAAGAACAAGUGCCAGAGUAACUGCUGGCACCUUGACGGUACCUGACCAGAAAGCCACGGCUAACUACGUGCCAGCCGCCGCAGUAACAC